CUGCUGCCUUCCGUAGGAGUUUGGGCCGUGUCUCAGUCCCAAUGUGGCCGGCCACCCUCUCAGGUCGGCCACUGAUCGUCGCCUUGGUGGGCCGUUACCCCGCCAACCAGCUAAUCAGACGCGGAUCCAUCUCAUACCGCCGGAGCUUUUCACCCGGAAGCAUGCGCUCCCGUGUGCUUAUGCGGUAUUAGCAGUCAUUUCUAACUGUUAUCCCCCUGUAUGAGGCAGGUUAUCCACGCGUUACUCACCCG
rnacentral:rRNA from 1 species